UGCGUAGGGUGCAAGCGUUGUCCGGAAUUAUUGGGCGUAAAGCGCGCGCAGGCGGUCCUUUAAGUCUGAUGUGAAAGCCCACGGCUCAACCGUGGAGGGUCAUUGGAAACUGGGGGACUUGAGUACAGAAGAGAAGAGUGGAAUUCCACGUGUAGCGGUGAAAUGCGUAGAGAUGUGGAGGAACACCAGUGGCGAAGGCGACUCUUUGGUCUGUAACUGACGCUGAGGCGCGAAAGCGUGGGGAGCAAACAGG
rnacentral:rRNA from 1 species